rnacentral:tRNA from 1 species
GGCCCCAUAGUUUAAUGGAUAGAAUUUAAGAUUCCGGUUCUUAAGAUCUGGGUUCGAAUCCCGGUGGGGUCA